rnacentral:rRNA from 1 species
AGAGGUCCCGCCUGCCCAGUGACCCGUUUCAACGGCCGCGGUAUUAUGACCGUGCUAAGGUAGCACAAUCACUUGUCUUUUAAAUAAAGACCUGUAUGAAUGGCACAACGAGGGAUUAACUGUCUCCUUCCCCCAGUCAAUGAAAUUGAUCUGCCCGUGCAGAAGCGAGCAUAAACACAUAAGACGAAAAGACCCUAUGGAGCUUUAGACAAAGUCAACAUGCCUAAAAAACCCCAAAUAACCCAACAGAACAAAAUGUUUAUUAAACCCAACAUGUAAUUGACUAAUGUCUUCGGUUGGGGCGACCAUGGGGGAAAAGAAAGCCCCCACACAGACAAGGAUAAACUCCUAAACCAAGAAAAACACUUCUAAGCAACAGAAAAUCUGACACAAGAUCCGGGUGCAAUGAACCCGAUCAAUGAACCAAGUUACCCUAGGGAUAACAGCGCUAUCCUUUCCCAGAGCCCAUAUCGACGAAAGGGUUUACGACCUCGAUGUUGGAUCAGGACAUCCUAAUGGUGCAGCCGCUAUUAAGGGUUCGUUUGUUCAACGAUUAAUAGUCCUAC